rnacentral:rRNA from 1 species
ACUCCUACGGGAGGCAGCAGUGGGGAAUAUUGCACAAUGGGCGCAAGCCUGAUGCAGCAACGCCGCGUGAGUGAUGAAGGCCUUCGGGUCGUAAAGCUCUGUCCUCAAGGAAGAAUAAAUGACGGUACUUGAGGAGGAAGCCCGGCUAACUACGUGCCAGCAGCCGCGGUAAUACGUAGGGGGCAAGCGUUAUCCGGAAUCACUGGGCGUAAAGGGGUGCGUAGGCGGUUUUCAAGUCAGAAGUGAAAGGCUAUGGCUCAACCAUAGUAAGCUUUUGAAACUGUUAAACUUGAGUGCAGGAGAGGAAAGUGGAAUUCCUAGUGUAGAGGUGAAAUUCGUAGAUAUUAGGAGGAACACCAGUGGCGAAGGCGACUUUCUGGACUGUAACUGACGCUGAGGCACGAAAGCGUGGGGAGCGAACAGGAUUAGAUACCCUGGUAGCACAG